rnacentral:rRNA from 1 species
AACGAACGCUGGCGGCAUGCCUAACACAUGCAAGUCGAACGAGACCUUCGGGCCUAGGGGCGCACGGGUGGGUAACGCGUGGGAACCUGCCCUUAGGUUCGGAAUAACUCCCCGAAAGGGAUGCUAAUACCGGUUAAUGUCUUCGCACCAAAGAUUUAUCGCCUUUGGAUGGGCCCGGGUUGGUUUAGCGAGUUGGUAGGGUAAAAGCCUACCAAGGGCAGGAUGCUUAGCUGGUCGGAGAGGAGGAUUAGCCACACUGGGACUGAGACACGGCCCAGACUCCUACGGGAGGCAGCAGUAGGGAAUAUUGGACGAUGAGCGAAAGCGUGAUCAAGCAGUGCCGCGGGAGUGAUGAAGGGCUUAGGGUUGUAAAGCUGUUUUACACGGAAUGAGAAUGACAGUACCGGGUGAAUAAGCUCCGGCUAACUCCGUG